GUUGGCCCCUACCACACCACCGCCCAUGACUGCCCUCCACCCGACCACUGCGGUCGUCGCCCCGAACCACCCCACAGUAGCACCGUCGAGCACCCAACUGACACGGAAAACCACUGCCGACGAGCCACUCCACCGGUGACCACCCUCCUCUGCCGAACGCCUUCCCUCGUCACCGCCCUAUUUCGCGAGCUUCCUCCCUCGAGUAGGACUCCUCCCUAAGCCGAUGGAGCCAGGAGUUCUUUGAAUGGGAUUGGUGAAUGCAAUAGUGUUGGUGUGUGGAUUUAUUAUCUUCUUAUGAGAGAAGAACAAGCAGGCAAGUUGAAUCAGUGGUGGUUCCGUUGGUUGCUCUGAUGUAAUAUUUGUAUUGUCUGUAGGUGAGGGUUCUGAUUUAAUCCUUUUGAACCUCAAAGAGGCUAUUAGCCUAAAUAAAUCUUUGCUCCAGGUAACCUAACUUCUAUAGCUUUUGUAUUUAGGCUUCUGUUGCAUCAGGGGCAAACAAGUGCUAUCUUGUUUGAGUUUUACUUUCCUAUAUUGCAGAGUGCUUGAUUGUAGGACUACACAUUUUACAAAGAUUUUCUCCAAACAAAUAAAUAGAAAUAUUGCAUGGACGCAUAUUGGCUAUACACACUGGUACAAUUAGACACAGUUCACUUAAAUAUAGCUGUGCCUGUUGAAUUGUAAUAACUGUGGCAUUAGGUGAACUGUACCGUAGGUUGUGCACUUGCCUUAUUGUUGGAAACAUAAAUAGAGCUCUAUCUUGUUAUUUUCUCUGUAUUCUACCCUCAUGGUUCAUAGGGUAACAAGCAUAGUAUUUGAAUGAGAUGGCAUUUACUGUUGGUGGCUUAUUUGUAUGCCUAACAAGUUGGGUGCAAUGCUCAUUUGGUAAAAAAUUCUUCAUGGGUAGGUCUUUGAUCUUGUUCAUAUAUGUACACAGUGAGCUUUACGAAAUGAAUUCACUACUACUCGAAGUUUUGUGUAUGGAAGGGAGAUUGGAUAUUCGGCUCACUGUGUACUAACCAAAACAUAUUUGGAAGUGGACAAGUCCAUGGCAAAAGCAGGAAGACGACCACAAGCAAGCUGAGGAUGUAAUAUUCAUGUUUCUCUUGGCUAUUAGCUGAGGAGGUAAUUUCAUGUUUCUCUUGGCUAUUAGCUGAGGAGGUCUAAGUGGGUCAUUCUUUUUCUUGAUUAAGGUCUAUUUUUGCAUCUACUGCUCUCAACGGCGGACCCAUUAAUCAUCUACUAGGCAGUAAGCACCUCCUUGAUGCAUGCCUGGAGAAGAACGAAGCGACUCCGCAGCGAGUGACCAAACUUAGAUUUCGUUGUUUGACCGGCGACCACCGACACCUGAGUGUGGGACUGUGGGGGUGGGGGCGUGGUGCACCGGCGGACUGGACGGCGGCCGCUGUGGCUUGCCGGCAUGGGGGUGGCUGCUGGCGGGCAGCCGACUAGGCUAGGGAUUGGUGGUCAGGGGCUCCCUCCAGUUCUGCAGUCCUGACCUCGUCUCGGCACCACGCAUAGUGCCGCAUUGAGAUGGUUUUGCAAAUGUAUGCAAGUUCACGGAGGUUUGGAAGGACCUUCAAGAUGUUGAAGAUUUGGAAUACCUACAAUUAAGUUGAUGGAGUGAUAAUGUCAUAUACCUUAUUUGUUGACCUGGAGACUUGCUCUGCUCAUUUUGGUUGUGGCAAAUUUAGAAAUUUAUGUACUACUUUUGUGGUACUACAUUUUGGUAGUGUGAUACAUCUAGAAACAUAUAUGUACUUCUCAUUUUGUGGAACAACCUCCUUAUAUAUGGAAGCUUAUAUGUACUUCUUUUCUGGAACAGCCUACUUGUAUUGUUGUGUUUAUCGAAUAAAGUUUACGGUUUUGAUGA